GUGGAAAAAAUAUGUAUCUGUAGUGUUGCAAUAGAGUUCUGAGUGGCUCUCAGCCCAUCUAUUAAGAGUAUUCAAAGCAGGAAGUUACUGAAAUUUUGCAAGUUAACUCUUGCAAGUCCUCUUUAAGUCUUCUAAAUUAAUGGAAAGCACAAGACACAGAGUUUUUUAAAGGUUUGGUUUUUUUUAACUAGAUAAUAGAGGCCCAUCUUUGAAUACUGCAAUAAUAUGGGGGGGGUCCCCUGGAAAAUGUAUAUUGUCAUCAAAGGAUAACUUUUUUUGACAUCUGAUAACAACCAGAAGAGAGGUUGUAGCACAUGUACCUAGUGUUGAAGUCAGUAACAUCAGUAUAAUUCUGUUUUUUAUAAAGAGCCAAUACAAAUUGGAGGAUUUCCCCUGAUUACUACAACACAGCAUGACAACUGCUUUUAAUAGUUGCCUUUUACAUAGACACAGUACAGUCCAGCUAUGUGAUUUUACUUUUGUUCUCCCCUAUUUUGUAGAAUAAAUUAGAAGAAAAUAAAUGAGGUAAACCAUACAGAACCAAGGUUGGGUCAGCAGCAAUUCACUACACCACCUUCAUUUAAGCACUGUUUUCAUAGUAAGGAUCAUGGCAACUGUCUAACCAGCUCAUUCCCCUUUGUAUUACCUUUUUACAGGUGACACAGUAAAACCUAAUUGGAAUGUUCUCUUCUUUUUUAGAAACUCUUUUUUCCCCUAGAGUCACUUUCAAGUUUUGCAAGUGUUAGGGUUGGACAAACAAGCAAAAUUUUUUUUUCAAACAACUGGUUUUGUAUUCAUAGCAGACCUUGAAGAAAUACAGCAGAAAAUGAUGAAGACAUGUUGACAGAACAAGGAUUUAUAAACAAAACGGAUUCAGUUCACCAAAUGGACCAAGCUCCUGGAAAAAAAAAAAUUUAUAAAAUGAAGCUGUGUAGGAAAAGAGGCAGAAGGCCACAGAAAGAAAAGUAUGGGUUCAAUGACAAAGGUAGCUGAAUACAGCUCUGAGAAACAGUCCUGUCCCUGCCUUCAUCUCACCAUCUCCCUGUAAUUUGGGCAAGACCCUUAACCGAGAUUUUUCACUAGUAACAAUCCUUUUCUGAGUUCCCUCCUACAAGAAAUCUUGACUUUAAGUUGCUUUGUAUAUCUUCCUUAGGAUGAAAUGCUUCGUGGUCCCCAAACAUAUAUUUCUAGUCUCUACAGUCAGCUAGCUCAGAUGCAGGUUUCUCCAGUGGAGAAGAAAUUAGUGCCCUCUACAGAGCUUAGUUCAAAAAAGUGUUGAGUUCUCACAGCUGCAACAGAACACACUGGGGGCUAUAUGUGAACACAGACAAUCCUACAGCAUGCUAAACAAUCUUUUAAAAAAAAAUAAUCCAUCUCCAGGUAUCACAUACUGGACCCAAAAUCACUAAUUUCUUCCAGUCUUUUUCCAUUUGUAAAGUAAAAUUCCCAUUUUCUUAUCCCUCAGGACUUCUGGGCAAAAUUAACUACUUCAUGUUCAAGGAGCAGUUGGAUACUAUACUGGUAGGUGUCAUAAAGGGGGGGCAAAAAACUUAAAAUUAAUUUUUCUGGAUUUACAACACGAUGCAAGGAAUGUGCAGCAAAUCAGACAUGGGGCCAUACAAAAGAAUGCAUCAAAUAGAGAGUAUCUGUUUUUCCUGGGUUUGCUGGGUUUAUAUAUAUAGAUAUAGAUAUAUAUUUUCUAGCCAGUGUAAAGUCACACUUCUGGUGCCUAUGAUACGACUGUAGACCUUUUUUUUAUUAAACAAAAAGAUUUAAAAUUAAAUAAAAUGAGUGAAAGAAAGCUGUAAGCAGCAAGACAGCAGGUAAACCCCGAUGUGAUUACUUUUGUCAUCACAGCAUCCAGUGCUGGUCAUCACAGGUCAGGUUUACACUUGGAAUCCCCAGGAUGAGAACAGGGACCAGUGCAAUCCCAGGUGGGCUCCCAGUGCUGCCCUCCUUCCCAUCCCUUCCACUGCCUGGCGGUGACCUACACGGCAUGUGGCAGCACUGAGUACAACUAAUCAUGGUAACUCUAGUAUGAGAACUAACCUCAGGAAUGUGAAACAAUAUUUGAUGUAUUUACUCUGCCAAGAAGCAGCACAAAGAAAAACUCCACCUAGCAACCACAGCAUUACCAAAGUAUGCUAUCAGGGUAACAAACCAUACUCUUGGGAUUUCUGCCAUAGGCUACAACAGAGGAGCCUGCAAGAGUUACUGUCACUCCCCUUCCCAUGUUCUUAUUGGUUUUAACAGGUAUGCAAAUGUCUAUUAUUUUAAUGGCAUUCAAAGUGUAGCUACGUGACUCAGGAGAGGGCCAGUAUGGCUUAUACAAACAGAUAUAACUAGUUGGUUUUGAACAAGUGAGCUUGUUACAAACAGGUUGAUGGUAGUCACCACCAACUGGUAAGUCCAGCAGCUUUCAGAUGUCAGGCGCACCAGGUUUCCACAUUCCUGCAAUAUCGCUCUUUAAUCCUGGAAGGACAGCUAAGGUUCCUAAUUCCCUUUGCAGGCAGACAGUAACACUUGGUCACUUGCCAGAGGUACACACAGGUACCAUAAUCCUUAAUCAGUCAAUGCAGCACCAAAAGAGGCCACAGAGUUCAUGCCUAAUUUUCCAUCAUAUUGGUUACAGAAUUGGUAUUAUGUUAAUAAUAGUUAACAACAUAUUAACACAAUAUAUUUAAGAUGGGCAGAGUGAAACCUUGUGAGUGUUGUUAUUCCUUUACAUAAAAUGGGUCUUCUACUGCACAAGUUGUUCAUAAGAUAAUUAGCUCAGUAACUGCAUUGUCAUAUUUUGUAUCUGCACAAAUAGGAUCUGUGGCAGACGGUGACCUGACUUUGCCAAACAGCUCAAGUCCUUUCUCCAGCGGAGACAAUAAACUUCUCCACAUGGCCUUGCUUAUAGCUUAAACUCUAGGGAAGAAAAUUGCUAAGCACUUGACGUUCACAGCCUUCUGGCAGAGUCUGCAGCCAGGGAAAGGUGCAGUGGGAACCAUUUUUGGCUAGCAGUUUAGAAUAUGGCAAUACAGCCAGUAAAUUUGAUUCACUUGUAUUUUUAUUUACAAGAAGGGACCCUAAAACACUUGAUAAAUUCUGGUCAUGGGUGUGCUGAUUUAGCAACUUCGGUAUAAGGUUUUUAUAACUGUCACAGGGUGCAACCCUUCUAGUCUAUAGGUAUUUUUAUAAAGCAGGCUUUUAAAAAAUUCCUCAGUAGGUGAAAAAACCAGCCAUUUUUUGGUAAAGAAUUUUUAAGCAUUGGCACUAGAGUUAAUUGAUAAACUAUUAAACUGUUAAGUUUUAAUUUAUAGCAGCUAUAAUGGCAACAGUGUCUGAGUGAUCACCCUAUACUGCCACUAAAGACAUACCUCAUCUGUUAUAGCAGGAAAUACUUUAAGAUGAUUUGUAAUGAUGCAUACAUCUUAUUACCUGCUGAUAAUAACCUAUCAGGAAAGAAAACAGUUUAAUUAUAUAGUACAUCUCCCGCUGGCUUCCAAAUAUUUCUGCUGCUCUUCACUAAUUUCUAAGCUAAAAAAGAAUCAGUUUCCUUAUUUUACACUAGCACAUUAAUUUAUGAAUGGAAGAUGGAAAGCUUUUAUUAGCUGCUGAGGUGCCUGAAUUCUUUCUGUUGUCAUCACACUACAAAAAUCUAGCCCCAGCCGCCUAUAAAUCCUGAUGGAUGGUGGAGAACAGGCCCCAGAUCAGUUAAAGGACAUGGAGCAAAUACCAGACUAGACCUCUCAUGUGGUGCAGAGAGAUGUGCAGAAUAUUAUCUCAAAAGUGGCACUCAGCCCCCACCAGGUGGGAUCUCUGCUUACACUGACACUGUACAGGCAUCUUGAAUGAAAUGUCUUUCUCUUAUAGUCCUUCCUUCAGGUUCAUUCUGAGCAUGGCAUUAUAGCACCAUCUUGGGAACAGCACUGGCCCAGAAAAAGCAGAGGAGCCUUCAGCAUGCAAGAAUCUUUGAGAUGGGUACCAGUGGCUAAGGUUCAGGGUUUUGCACAGAAGCAGUGAAAAGGGGGACUGUUCCAGAUUGUCCUUCUCCCUGCUGUGCUGGCUACAGCAAGCUGAACUCUGUGAGGAUAGAAGAGGGAAACAUUUGGCUGACAGAACUGUGCACCUCACAUUGGAAAGUUUGUGUCAAAUGCAUUACUGGCCGUGGCCUGGAAGAGUCUGCAAGCUGAACUGACAAGCCUGAACAGUGUUUUACUGGAGCAGCCACCACAGAAGAGAAAGGGAAGUUACCUCUCAGGGCAACAUCAAGAGCGAAGAGCAGAGACGUGGAUAGAGGAUGGCCAGGACAAAAAGGGGCUUCUCCAAAAGGUGACAGAGUGGAUAUAAAGAGCUGAUAAGCAGGCAACAACUUCAGCUCCACCCACUCCCAGUAUGGCAGCCAGAGGAGCGAACUUGGGGAAACAGCCUUCUGCCUCUGAGGAGUCACCUCCCAGCCAUCCCACCAGCAUUCCCGAUGACUGCGUGUUGUUUGAGCUAAGGUGCCCUGUGUGAGGCCAACUGAGUUGGACUCUGACUACAACUGGUGCCUGAUGUAGCUGAGAAGUGGAAGAGCCUGUGACCCAUGACAAGCACUGUGAGAGCAAACUGCUGAUCUUUAGAGAUUAAGACUGAUUUGAACCACAUGUCAGGUUCUGUUGCUCCUGUCUUUGUAGCCUCUGUUGAGAAGUUUGCCCGGAUUUUUGCUUAAGCCAUUUAUGCCUGUCUUUGCUGGGAUAGCCAUUGUAUGGAUGGUUCUCUACAGGAUCCUGACUUUUGUUGCCAGACCUACAUAACACCGUUGUUAUGCUGGGAAACACACUUCUGUUCUUGCUUCCAAAGGAAGCUUUUCAUUUACAAAAGGAAUGUGCUAAAAGAGGAAGGAGCACUGUUGGAGAGCACCAGCAGCUGGAGAGCCAUCUCUUAUCUUCUUGGGCAGCUGCAAGCAAGUACUGACCGCCAUGUGCUUUGAGGCAAGUGGGUAAUAGCAAGGUACAGAGCUUAUCUGAUGCGUUAGGAGAAGAGGUAGGUGAGGGAUGCAGAGUACAUGAAAAUACAAUAGAGAUGGUAAGUCAGCAAGAUGAUUUUUACUGCGAUGUGUUAAAUGGUUUUGCAGGGACAUAAAGUAGACUUGAUGAAACCAGGAAGAGGAAGCUUCAGUUGUGGAUAUGUGAGACAACAAAAACCUGAACCAGGGCUUUACCAAAGAAAAAGGGGCUGGAUUUUUAAGGCAUUGUGAAGGAAGAAUGAAUGUAAUUUGUGUCGAACAGGUUGUCUCUCCUCUUGCCAGCUGUGCAUGUUAAAGAGAAUGCUGCUUUUUGCCAUUCACAGGUUACUCCUCUUACAAAAUUACUGAACAUUUCCAUGCCUGUCAUUAUUCAGAAAUGGUUACAAUUAAGUUAAUCUAAUUAUUUGAGUUCCCUUUGUUUUGGUUCCUCUUAUUGUUGAAAUUAGUUCCUCUGCUAGAAUCUGCAAGCUUUUGCAACUUUUGUUUCACUCAUUAUUCCCGAUAUAGCUGUUAUGUCAGCAUAAAAGUCCUCCCAGCUUGCAUAGUAUAUCUCUAUAGCUCUGUCUUAGGCCAUAUAAGCUGAAAUCCCGUGAGAAGAUUUUUGAUCAGGAACCUAAAACUUUAAGACUACUCAAUCUGCGUUCCUCAAUUUUUAUCCUCUUGUUUAUUUCACUACUAAACACAAAAGCUUACACAACUGUUGAGCUUUCUUAAUCAACCCUGAUCUAGCUCACACUGCUGUUUGUAGAAAUACUUCCUUUCACGUCAGUGAGCUUGAUCUGAGUAAAGCUAAAGCCUUGAUAAUACCAAGCUUAUUUAAAGAAUCUUAAGGUUUGGCAUAAUAUGAGCGAAGACCAAUGCUUCUUGUGAGCUGCAAUGGUAAUUUUGGUAAGGGACACUUUUAAAAAAUUAAAUAAAAAUCAGAAUCUCUUAUGUUCCUACAGUGAAUACCCAGGUUUGCUGGGGAUAAAAGUUCUCUCUGGAACCACAAGAAAUUGCUUAAACUCUCAACUAUAGAAUCCCUAUUUUUCCAUACUGUACAGAAGAUGUGUUUUCCAGUACAGCAGAUGUUACUCAAGAUUUUCCAAGUGUAGUUUUUACAAUCUCUCUUCAGCAUAAAUUUUAGUUGCGUUGGCUUCAUCUUUAUUAUAUGUAACAUACAAUGUAAGAAAUAACCCCUCUGGUUUGAAAGCACAAGGGAGGUGACAGGAUGGGCCACACCAGAGGGACACAAUUAGCCAGAUGAACCAGAAGCACCUGGAGCCAGUUGCUUCUCCUGGAGGACAUCAGUGCUAAGAGCAGUCAACACCCGAGUUGUCCUAGGGAAGAAAGUGCAGAAACUUGCCUGCCAGGGAUAACAGAGUGGGCUCGGGUCCCUCUGUAGCAGAGAAGGGAGGAUUAAACAAGGGUGUCCCUGAUCCUGAGGGUGUUACCUCAGCCAGCACUGAUGGGAACACUGCCCUGCUUGCGAUUCUCCACCCUCAGUUAAAAAAGAAUUGUUUGCUGCUCAGAUACUGACAUCUUUCCCUUCUGGAGAACAUAUGGAGAUGCCCUAGUUCAGCUACUGGAAAGAAGGCACAUCCCAAGUGACCCGUUAGCAAAAAGAGGAAUUGGGAAGAGGAAACACAGAAGAAAAUAGUAUCCCACAGGCCCUUUUACAUUUUUUGUGCUUUGUGCGGGAUUCACAUCAAAGGGAGUUUUGCUAAUUUAAAGAUAUGAUUUUUGUUUCUAUAAAACCUUUUUUGUGACAAUGCUAAUAAUCUUUCCACAGCAAGGAAACGUUUGGGGUGGGUUUUAAGCUAUGGCAAAUGAUCCAGUUUUUUCCAGCUCCAUUCCAGUAAAGUCGGUCUUCUGAAGUCCCCAAGUGCAUGAACAAGAUAGAUUGUAGUAAACUCUCUAACAGCAGGUUCUCAUUUCACUGGAAUCACAAGCAAUAUAUUUUUAUCCAUAUAUCCAGCAGCAAAAGGCUCUGAUAUGGUAAUUUAUACCUCCUUUACUUCCUUUUCUUCUUUUUCCUUUGUAUUCAUCUCAAUGUAUUUAAAGCAAGAGGUACACGGCUGUGUACAUGCAUUCACACUGGAGAGCUGAAAAGCACACAUGCUACACCCACCAGCAAAACCCAGAGGCUAGGGCUGGCUUAAGGUAUACUCAGGCUGGUCUAUUUUAUCAGGAGCAGCAGCUGAGGAGAGAACUGGUCUAGAGAGGACCUGUCAGGCUGCUCUUGACAGGAUGGUUUGCCAGAUCAGGUUUGCUGUUACCACUGGUUUUUUAAUUGCCUACCUGCCUUAUAAAAGGCACCCCCACAGCUAUCAUGGACCCCUUGUAGUCAGCUGAAUAAGCACAGCUUCUAGUUUUUAAUGUGAUUCCUUUCAUAGCUUUCGAUUUUCCUGUCAACUCAGAAUUAAUAUUUUUGUAGUACUUUCACAUACUGUCUUGCAGGGGUUUGUACCCACUCACUUUUUCAAAAGUUGCUGACUCAAAUUAAAAUUCUAACAGAUCUUUGGUUCCCUGGUACCUAAGUUGCUUUUGAAAACUUUAAACUGUAACUUGUUUCAUUAAAAAAAAAAAAAAAGCAAGUUUAUAUGUGCAAUUUUAACAAAAAAAAAAAGUAUCGAAGUUGCCCAUUUUGACAUUCAUCCUGCUCGAAGAAGCAGGAUUAAAACACAAAUAGGCCUAAGGUCUAUGUAAGCAUUGCAAUCAGAAUAGGCAACUCUUUGUAAUUCAAUACUAGCUAUGGUGCAGAAAAUUUCACCUCAAGUAAGAAUGGGAAUAUU